AGUUCCCUGGGAUGUUCGAAAAUCCUCCUUAUUUUGAACCUACAGUAUUUCAAAGGGAUUCCUAUAUUGCAGUCAGGAUGUCAUGCCUCCUUUGUGUGGACGGCAGAAUGACUGUUGCGGUUGCCCACCUAGCGCAAGCUAGGAUCAAAAGGGAGGAAACGGCAUUCCGGGGUUAAU
rnacentral:other from 1 species